rnacentral:rRNA from 1 species
UACGUAGGGUGCGAGCGUUAAUCGGAAUUACUGGGCGUAAAGUGUGCGCAGGCGGCCGCGCAAGUCGAGUGUGAAAUCCCCGAGCUUAACUUGGGAAUUGCGCUCGAAACUACGUGGCUGGAGUGUGGCAGAGGAAGGUGGAAUUCCACGUGUAGCGGUGAAAUGCGUAGAGAUCGGAAGGAACACCAGUGGCGAAGGCGGCUACCUGGCCUAAUACUGACACUGAGGCACGAAAGCGUGGGGAGCAAACAGG